AUGAACGCUAGCGGCAGGCCUAACACAUGCAAGUCGAGGGGUAGGACACUUCGGUGUUUGAGACCGGCGCACGGGUGCGUAACGCGUAUGCAAUCUGCCUUACACUACGGGAUAGCCCAGAGAAAUUUGGAUUAAUACCGUAUAGUAUAUUGAUGUGGCCUCACAUUAUUAUUAAAGAUUUAUCGGUGUAAGAUGAGCAUGCGUCCCAUUAGCUAGUUGGUAUGGUAACGGCAUACCAAGGCUAUGAUGGGUAGGGGUCCUGAGAGGGAGAUCCCCCACACUGGUACUGAGACACGGACCAGACUCCUACGGGAGGCAGCAGUGAGGAAUAUUGGUCAAUGGGCGCAAGCCUGAACCAGCCAUGCCGCGUGCAGGAUGAAGCAUCUAUGGUGUGUAAACUGCUUUUGUACGGGAAGAAACACCUCUUCGUGAAGAGGCUUGACGGUACCGUAAGAAUAAGGAUCGGCUAACUCCGU
rnacentral:rRNA from 1 species